GGGGGGGGGGAGGCAGUGUAUUAAAGUAGAGUGGUGGGAGUGGAGGGAGGAUGUCUGGGAGAUAGCCACUAAGGGCAGUUUUGGCCCUGCAAUAUACACAUUGCAGUUUCUCUAAAACUGCUGUUUUAUAUUGCAGGGUUAAGGGGACAAGGACACUGCAUCCAGCCCACGUCAAUUAGAUGAAGUGGCCUGGGUGCCGAUAGUAUCCCUUUAAGUUUAGAAUCUGAACAGUGAGAGGGACCUUCAUUUUCUAACUUUCAUAGGACCCUGUGCUACAUUAACCCUAUUAAUGAACUAUGACGGUCUAUGCCAGCACAGUGAUCCUAGAGCAUGGGGCUGCACAGAGCUGUCAAGCCUAAAUAAAAGGACAUUCUAUUCAAUCAUGCUAUUUUUAGGGAUUGUAGUGUGAAGACAGCACAAUGAAUGUUGGUAUUUGCAGUUAGAAAAGUUAAAUGAGUAAUAAUGAAAGUUCCCCUGUCUGCCCAUUUGCUUCCUAACUCUAAACUGGACAAGGCUUUAUCUACUUUUGUCAUAAUGUUUCCAAAUGUCUAACUCAGGGUUUUUUGAACAGGAUGCUCAUGGAAUUAAUUUGGCACCUGUGGCUUUCCCUGCACGUGACUUCUAUAGUCUCCCUAAAAACUUCCUAUAAAGAGUCAUCUAAUGUUUGUACUGACUUUAUUGCAAAUUAUGUUCAAUUUAAAAUGGAUUAUGUUCUGCUCUGUUAAUAGAUUGCUAUACCCUACAGGAGAACCCUGUGUGUGAUUAAAGUUCAAGUUGCAGAGCAGGAGAUAAAAACUUUUAAAGAAAGUUACAUCUGAUUGAAAAUGAAACCAUUUUGUUUUCAUGCAGGCUGUGUCAGUCACAUUUUGACUAGGGCUACAUAAAGAGAAACAGAAGUUAUUGAGCAGUGAAACUUCAGAGGCAUCAUCUAUACACUAAAACUGCUUCAUUAAGCUGAAGUUAUUUGGUGAAUUCAGUGUCCCUUAAAAGAGGAGCCAAUGAAUGAAACAAUCCAUAAUAAAACCAUCAUAUAGUUUUUGCAUUGCAGAAACGAUCUGAUGUUAAAUAAAACAUAUUUGUUGCUAGUUAGUAAUUCCUGUGAUGUUUUUAGCAGAUUACUAACUAAAUGUACAGUAAAUACCAUACGGUCUAUUUACAAAUCACUUCACUGAUUGACCAUACAUCACAAUAAUACAGAAAAUUUAGAAAUAUAAAGUAGAGAACUGGUAAAUACAUUUCUGUGCCUUUUUAUGCGUGUUUUUGUUAAUUUUUACAACACACUUAAUGCAGGUAGGUUUUAUUUUUAUUGUAUUGAACAAGAAUACAGCUAAAUAACUUUUUCUUGACUUGUUUUCACACAAUGUUUCAUCUCAAAAUUUCCAUUAAAGCAGUUUAUAUUCUUACAAAAUAUAUUUAGUUUUAUAGCAAUGUUUGUAUUAUAUAUAUCUCGUUAUGUUAUGAUUCAAAACUAAUUACAUUAUUUUUUAUUUCUGUACUAUCUGGGCAUUGCAAAAUAUUGUUUCUAUUUUCAGUCC